GUGCUCACUUCAGUAGCUCAUAUACUAAAACUGGACCAAUGCAGAGAAGAUUGGCGCAAGGAUGACACGCACAUUCGUGAAGCGUUCCAUGUUUUU
rnacentral:snRNA from 1 species